rnacentral:rRNA from 1 species
AUGAACGCUAGCUACAGGCUUAACACAUGCAAGUCGAGGGGCAGCAUGAACUUAGCUUGCUAAGUUUGAUGGCGACCGGCGCACGGGUGAGUAACACGUAUCCAACCUGCCGAUGACUCGGGGAUAGCCUUUCGAAAGAAAGAUUAAUACCCGAUGGCAUAGUUCUUCCGCAUGGUAGAACUAUUAAAGAAUUUCGGUCAUCGAUGGGGAUGCGUUCCAUUAGGUUGUUGGCGGGGUAACGGCCCACCAAGCCUUCGAUGGAUAGGGGUUCUGAGAGGAAGGUCCCCCACAUUGGAACUGAGACACGGUCCAAACUCCUACGGGAGGCAGCAGUGAGGAAUAUUGGUCAAUGGACGAGAGUCUGAACCAGCCAAGUAGCGUGAAGGAUGACUGCCCUAUGGGUUGUAAACUUCUUUUAUACGGGAAUAAAGUGAGGCACGUGUGCCUUUUUGUAUGUACCGUAUGAAUAAGGAUCGGCUAACUCCGUGCCAGCAGCCGCGGUAAUACGGAGGAUCCGAGCGUUAUCCGGAUUUAUUGGGUUUAAAGGGAGCGUAGGCGGACGCUUAAGUCAGUUGUGAAAGUUUGCGGCUCAACCGUAAAAUUGCAGUUGAUACUGGGUGUCUUGAGUACAGUAGAGGCAGGCGGAAUUCGUGGUGUAGCGGUGAAAUGCUUAGAUAUCACGAAGAACUCCGAUUGCGAAGGCAGCUUGCUGGACUGUAACUGACGCUGAUGCUCGAAAGUGUGGGUAUCAAACAGGAUUAGAUACCCUGGUAGUCCACACAGUAAACGAUGAAUACUCGCUGUUUGCGAUAUACAGUAAGCGGCCAAGCGAAAGCGUUAAGUAUUCCACCUGGGGAGUACGCCGGCAACGGUGAAACUCAAAGGAAUUGACGGGGGCCCGCACAAGCGGAGGAACAUGUGGUUUAAUUCGAUGAUACGCGAGGAACCUUACCCGGGCUUGAAUUGCAACUGAAUGAUGUGGAGACAUGUCAGCCGCAAGGCAGUUGUGAAGGUGCUGCAUGGUUGUCGUCAGCUCGUGCCGUGAGGUGUCGGCUUAAGUGCCAUAACGAGCGCAACCCUUAUCGAUAGUUACCAUCAGGUUAUGCUGGGGACUCUGUCGAGACUGCCGUCGUAAGAUGUGAGGAAGGUGGGGAUGACGUCAAAUCAGCACGGCCCUUACGUCCGGGGCUACACACGUGUUACAAUGGGGGGUACAGAAGGCAGCUACACAGCGAUGUGAUGCUAAUCCCAAAAGCCUCUCUCAGUUCGGAUUGGAGUCUGCAACCCGACUCCAUGAAGCUGGAUUCGCUAGUAAUCGCGCAUCAGCCACGGCGCGGUGAAUACGUUCCCGGGCCUUGUACACACCGCCCGUCACACCAUGAGAGUUGGGGAUACCCGAAGCCUGUGAGCCAACAGUUAAAUGGGGCAGCAGUCGAAGGUAGAAUCAAUGAUUGGGGUG